ACUUAAAGUCCAGCUUGAUUUUUUUAGACUAAGUCCAAAUCUUUUCCAUGGUAACCAUGACAAAUAUAAAUGCCCAAAAUCCGCAAAUAGCAAGAGGCACCACUUUGGGAUCUGUUUGAUAUAUCUGCCAAGUUCUGUUG